CAAUGGUAAGUAGUCACUUUAUAAAUAUAAAAGUUUUAUAUACAGAUUCUCUCCAUCUCUACUUUAGAGCUCACCUGGUCCUCUUCGUGUAGACAGCAUGAAUACGGAACUGAACAACGUUCCCGGCUGAGGUUCUCUGAAGAGCAGUUGAAAUACAUAUUUUGGGACCAGUCCUUGUAUGAGAUACCACCACAGCAGCUGAACUAGCACCGGGGGACAUUGCGACAAAUAUGAAAGAAAAAAAAAAAAUAUCAGACAAGACUAGUUAGACAGGCAUGAAGGUUCUCAUAGUGCGUGAUAUGAAUUCUCUCAUAGUGUGUGAUAUGAAUAAUUGAUUAUCUGGGCAGCAGCCUACUACAAAAUACAGCAACUACUAACAUCAAACUUUAGAAUAAAAUACAAUUUGUACAGAUUACCUGUAAUAAACUAGAAACAUUUCUGCAUUUUUCCUGUAUUUUAUCUGAACCCACAGUGCAGGAAUGGGAACGCAUAAGCACAAAAUGAAUCUUAACUUUGCCAGUAACAGUGUAAAAUGGCCACGUUUCAGGUCAGGAGCCAUAUGUUCAGCCUGCAUAACCAUGCAUGUGACAUGCUUCAUGGCAAUGUACCACUUAAAUACACGUUUACUUUGGAAGAGCCUUUGCCUCACAUGAUG